ACCCAGGCAGACCCUACAAUGACGGUGGCAGCCUCUGAGCAUGGCCAAAGUGUGCAGCCCGAGCAACUGGGCAUUCUUAGGAGAAUGCUGAGCAAGGGACCACAGCCCGGUGACCACAGGACCUUCCCAGCAGGCGAGGCAGCCUUCUCAACCCCAGAUGCUGGAGAGAUAAGUUGAGGGCUAAGGCCCACAGAGGGGAAUCAGCUUUGUGGGCGGGGAUGUGCAAGAAGUGCCCCUCUAGGCCACUUAAAGGGAAAGUGUCUGUUUAGAUCACAGUGCUGAGGUGCACAGGGCAGAGCAGUUCCGGUGUGUGUCCUGUCACUUGUCUCUGGUGCACUCUGUGUUCUUUGGGUCUCUCGGUCCUUUCUUCUCAUCAAAAGCUCUCUCUCCCUCUCCUGUCCCCUCCUUUGUCACGUCCUGUCCUGUGUCACGGGUGUCUGCACAUAUUCAUCCCGGAGCUGCUCUGCCCUGGUGCAUAGCUUGUAACAGCACAAGUUCUGGGGACUUGAAAUUUCUAUUGGGAGAUUGCCAUAACAUUUUUGGUGCUGUUAAGUCCUGCAGCCAUUUGACACUAGUUCUAACUUCCUUUCAGAUGCAGACAGUUCAAAUCUGUGGCAGAGGGCACCAGUCCUGGGUGAGUAUCUUCCCAUGAGCAGGUCGGUCAUUGUUUGCAUUUGCAGGGGAAGCGUAAAUGGGUGACUGUGUUACAGCGGUGUUCUUUGCCUUUAUUUUUAGGAGGUCCAGACAGAUAGCAGCAGUCAAGGCCCAGGGUGCCAGGUGAGCAGUGGACAGAAGCAGUUGUUUUUGCUCAGGUUUCAGUUUUUGGUGCAACUGUAAGCAACCAUUCUUGUUUGUGUACUUUGGGGAAUCCCCUCAGAGUAUGCAUAGCAGCUGUCACCAGCUGGCCGAUGGACUGGGUUUCCUGUGCUUUAUGAGACCUCUGGAAGUAUAGCAGGACUCUGUGAUGAAGCCUAAAAAUUUUGUAUUUCAGGGUCCCACCCUGGUAGCCCAGAGGAAUGGACAAGGAAUUGCGGUGAGUCGGGGAGGUAGGGAGGAGGAGUGUGGGUACACUCAAGUUUCAGCAAUGCCACAUCACCCCCUCUCCACUUAACCUCUCUGUACCCGGAGAUGAUGCUGUCGGCCUCGAAGCACACCUGAGGGGUAUGGCCUGGGCAUUCUGAGGAGGAUGGUGAAUAGCAGAAUUAUCAGGUUUUGGCCGAUGUGUUGUUAAGACUGUGCACUGAUGUUUGGUUUUCUUUCUCUUGGCAGACCAAGAGGUGACAGCUGGAACUUACCAGACAGGCAGACGGCCUUUUUCUGCAGCCAACAGGGAUUUGCAUCCCCAGAUGCAUGCAAGAUAAGUGGAGGGUUAUGACCCACAGAGCGGAUGGAGGUGGGGUGCCAGGUUGGGACUUUCUAGAAGAGGUUUUUGUGUCUGUAGUAGAGAUGGGGAUGUCCAAGAAGCAUCCCCUUAGGUCACCUAAAGGGACAGUGUCUGUUUUGAUCUCUGUGCUGAGGUGCACAGGGCAGAGCAGUUCCGGUGUGUGUCCUGUCACUUGUCUCUGGUGCACUCUGUGUUCUUUGGGUCUCUCGGUCCUUUCUUCUCAUCAAAAGCUCUCUCUCCCUCUCCUGUCCCCUUGUUUGUCAUGUCCUGUCCUGUGUCACGGGUGUCUGCACAUAUUCAUCCCGGAGCUGCUCUGCCCUGCUGCAUAGCCUGUAAUAGCACAAGUGCUGGGGACUUGAAAUUUGUAAUGCAGGGUGUAGUUGGGCUCUAGACUGGAUUAAGAGAUUGCCAUAACAUGUUUGGUACUGUUAAGUUUUCCUGCAGCUGUUUGACCCUAGUCCUAACUUCCUUUCAGAUGCAUACAGUUCAAAUCUGUGGAAGAGGGCACCAGUCCUGGGAAGUCCAGGCAGAUAGCAGCUGUCAAGGCCAAGUCUGCCAGGGAAUCCACUGGGUGUAUGCCAAGCCCCUGUCACCAGCUGGCCGAUGGACCGGGUUUCCUGCACUUAUGAGCCCUCUGGAAGUAUUACAGGACCCUGUGAUGAAGCCUACCGGUUUUGUAUUUCAAGGUCCCCUCCUGGUAGCCCAGAGGAAUGGCCGAGGAGUUGUGGUGUACCCUGUGUUGAAGGUGUCGGCCUCCAAGCACGCCUGAGGUGCGUGGCCUGAGCAUUCUUAGGAAACGACCAAGAGAGAACAGCCUGGUGACAACUGGAAUUUCCCAGACCGGCAGGAGGCCUCCUUCUGCACCUGAUGAGGAUUUGCAUCCCCAGAUAUGUGCAAGAUAAGUCAAGGGUUACGACCCACAAAGGGGAUGGAAGAGAGGUGCCAGAUGCAGACAGUUCAAAUCUGUGGCAGUGGGCUCCAGACCUGGGUGAGGACCUUCCAAUGAGCAGGAGGUCCAGGCAGAUAGCAGCUGUCAAGGCCAAGUCUGCCAGGGAAUCCACUGGGUGUAUGCCAAGCCCCUGUCACCAGCUGGCUGAUGGACCAGGUUUCCUGCACUUAUGAGCCCUCUGGAAGUAUUACAGGACCCUGUGAUGAAGCCUACCGGUUUUGUAUUUCAAGGUCCCCUCCUGGUAGCCCAGAGGAAUGGCCGAGGAGUUGUGGUGUACCCUGUGUUGAAGGUGUCGGCCUCCAAGCACGCCUGAGGUGCGUGGCCCGAGCAUUCUUAGGAAACGACCAAGAGAGAACAGCCUGGUGACAACUGGAAUUUCCCAGACCGGCAGGAGGCCUCCUUCUGCACCUGAUGAGGAUUUGCAUCCCCAGAUAUGUGCAAGAUAAGUCAAGGGUUACGACCCACAAAGGGGAUGGAAGAGAGGUGCCGGGUUGGGACUCCGCAGGAGGAGUUUUUGAGUCAAUUUUGGAGAUGGGGAUGUCCAAGAAGCAUCCCCUUAGGCCACCUAAAGUGCAAGUGUCUGUUUCGAUAUCUGUGCUGAGGUGCACAGGGCAGAGCAGUUCCGGUGUGUGUCCUGUCACUUGUCUCUGGUGCACUCUGUGUUCUUUGGGUCGC